rnacentral:tRNA from 1 species
GCCUCGUUAGCGUAGUUGGAUUAUCGCAUCUGUCUAAUACAUGGUGCCUCAGCGUGAGCUGAGAGUUAAACAGAAGGUCACUAGUUCGAGCCUAGUACGGGGCA